AACGAACGCUGGCGGCAUGCCUAACACAUGCAAGUCGAACGAGACCUUCGGGUCUAGUGGCGCCCGGGUGCGUAACGCGUGGGAACCUGCCCUUAGGUUCGGAAUAACUCCCCGAAAGGGGUGCUAAUACCGGAUAAUGUCUUCGGACCAAAGAUUUAUCGCCUUUGGAUGGGCCCGCGUUGGAUUCGCUAGUUGGUAGGGUAAAAGCCUACCAAGGCGACGAUCCAUAGCUGGUCUGAGAGGAUGAUCAGCCACACUGGGACUGAGACACGGCCCAGACUCCUACGGGAGGCAGCAGUGGGGAAUAGUGGACAAGGGGCGGAAGCCUGAUCCAGCAAGGCCGCGUGAGUGAUGAAGGCCGUAGGGUUGUAAAGCUCUUUUACCCGGGAUGAUAAUGACAGUACCGGGAGAAUAAGCGCCGGCUAACUCCGUG
rnacentral:rRNA from 1 species